rnacentral:rRNA from 1 species
UACGUAGGGUGCAAGCGUUAUCCGGAAUUAUUGGGCGUAAAGAGCUCGUAGGCGGUUUGUCGCGUCGGGAGUGAAAACUCAGGGCUCAACCCUGAGCGUGCUUCCGAUACGGGCAGACUAGAGGUAUGCAGGGGAGAACGGAAUUCCUGGUGUAGCGGUGGAAUGCGCAGAUAUCAGGAGGAACACCGGUGGCGAAGGCGGUUCUCUGGGCAUUACCUGACGCUGAGGAGCGAAAGCAUGGGGAGCGAACAGG